AGAGUUUGAUCCUGGCUCAGGACGAACGCUGGCGGCGUGCCUAACACAUGCAAGUCGAACGCGCUCCAUUCGGUAGCAAUACUGAUGAAGAGUGAGUGGCGAACGGGUGAGUAACACAUGAGCAACCUGCCCCGAAGACUGGGACAACACCGGGAAACCGGUGCUAAUACCGGAUAUCCCUAUCGGACCGCAUGAUCUGAUAAGGAAAUGGAUUCCGCUUCGGGAGGGGCUCGCGGCCUAUCAGCUAGUUGGUGAGGUAAUAGCUCACCAAGGCAUCGACGGGUAGCUGGUCUGAGAGGACGAUCAGCCACACUGGGACUGAGACACGGCCCAGACUCCUACGGGAGGCAGCAGUGGGGAAUCUUGCGCAAUGGGCGAAAGCCUGACGCAGCAACGCCGCGUGGAGGACGAAGGCUUUCUGAGUUGUAAACUCCUUUCAGCAGGGACGAUUGUGACGGUACCUGCAGAAGAAGCACCGGCCAACUACGUGCCAGCAGCCGCGGUGAUACGUAGGGUGCAAGCGUUGUCCGGAUUUAUUGGGCGUAAAGAGCUCGUAGGCGGUUUGAUUAGUCGGGUGUGAAACCUCCAGGCUCAACCUGGAGCCGCCACUCGAUACUGUCAUGACUAGAAUUCGGUAGGGGACCACGGAAUUCCUGGUGUAGCGGUGAAAUGCGCAGAUAUCAGGAGGAACACCAGCGGCGAAGGCGGUGGUCUGGGCCAAUACUGACGCUGAGGAGCGAAAGCGUGGGGAGCGAACAGGAUUAGAUACCCUGGUAGUCCACGCCGUAAACGUUGGGCACUAGGUGUGGGACCUUGUCAACGGGUUCCGUGCCGUAGCUAACGCAUUAAGUGCCCCGCCUGGGGAGUACGGCCGCAAGGCUAAAACUCAAAGGAAUUGAC
rnacentral:rRNA from 1 species